CCUACGGGCGGCAGCAGUGGGGGAUAUUGCACAAUGGGGGGAACCCUGAUGCAGCGACGCCGCGUGGGUGAAGAAGCGCCUCGGCGCGUAAAGCCCUGUCAGCAGGGAAGAAAAUGACGGUACCUGAAGAAGAAGCCCCGGCUAACUACGUGCCAGCAGCCGCGGGAAUACGUAGGGGGCAAGCGGUAUCCGGAUUUACUGGGUGUAAAGGGGGCGCAGACGGCGAUGCAAGCCAGGAGUGAAAGCCCGGGGCCCAACCCCGGGACUGCUCUUGGAACUGCGUGGCUGGAGUGCAGGAGGGGCAGGCGGAAUUCCUGGUGUAGCGGUGAAAUGCGUAGAUAUCAGGAGGAACACCGGUGGCGAAGGCGGCCUGCUGGACUGCAACUGACGUUGAGGCCCGAAAGCGUGGGGAGCAAACAGGAUUAGAUACCCCAGGAGUC
rnacentral:rRNA from 1 species